AAUGAACGUUGGCGGCAUGGAUUAGGCAUGCAAGUCGGGGGAAUCCCAGCAAUGGGGGAACCGGCGUAAGGGGCAGUAAGGCAUGGGUACCUACCUUGGGGUUCGGGAUAGCCAUCAAAGAUGGUGGGUAAUACCGGAUGACGUCGUGAGACCAAAGAUUUAUCGCCCUUAGAGGGGCCCAUGUGAUAUUAGCUAGUUGGUGGGGUAACGGCCCACCAAGGCGAAGAUGUCUAGCGGGUGUGAGAGCACGACCCGCGCCACUCGCACUGAGACACUGGCGAGACACCUACGGGUGGCUGCAGUCGAGGAUCUUCGGCAAUGAGCGCAAGCUUGACCGAGCGAUGCCGCGUGAGCGAUGAAGGCCUUCGGGUUGUAAAGUUCUUUAGUGGGGGAGAAAAGCCGCAAGGUGUGAUCUAUCCCAAAAAUAAGCACGGGCUAAGUUCGUGCCAGCAGCCGCAGUAA
rnacentral:rRNA from 1 species